rnacentral:rRNA from 1 species
UUGAUAGUACCUUACUACUUGGAUAACCCGUGGUAAUUCUAGAGCUAAUACAUGCUGAAAACCCCAACUUCGGGAGGGGUGUAUUUAUUAGAUAAAAAACCAACGCCCUUCGGGGCUUCUUGGUGAUUCAUGAUAACUUUACGGAUCGCAUGGCCUUGCGCCGGCGACGGUUCAUUCAAAUUUCUGCCCUAUCAACUUUCGAUGGUAAGGUAUUGGCUUACCAUGGUUUCAACGGGUAACGGGGAAUUAGGGUUCGAUUCCGGAGAGGGAGCCUGAGAAACGGCUACCACAUCCAAGGAAGGCAGCAGGCGCGCAAAUUACCCAAUCCCGACACGGGGAGGUAGUGACAAUAAAUACUGAUACAGGGCUCUUUUGGGUCUUGUAAUUGGAAUGAGUACAAUUUAAACCUCUUAACGAGGAACAAUUGGAGGGCAAGUCUGGUGCCAGCAGCCGCGGUAAUUCCAGCUCCAAUAGCGUAUAUUAAAGUUGUUGCAGUUAAAAAGCUCGUAGUUGAAACUUGGGUCUGGCUGGCAGGUCCGCCUCACCGCGUGUACUUGUCCGGCCGGGCCUUCCUUCUGGAGAACCUCAUGCCCUUCACUGGGCGUGUUGGGGACCAGGACUUUUACUUUGAAAAAAUUAGAGUGUUCAAAGCAGGCCUUUGCUCGAAUACGUUAGCAUGGAAUAAUAGAAUAGGACGUGCGGUCCUAUUUUGUUGGUUUCUAGGACCGCCGUAAUGAUUAAUAGGGACAGUCGGGGGCAUCAGUAUUCAAUUGUCAGAGGUGAAAUUCUUGGAUUUAUUGAAGACUAACUACUGCGAAAGCAUUUGCCAAGGAUGUUUUCAUUAAUCAGUGAACGAAAGUUAGGGGAUCGAAGACGAUCAGAUACCGUCGUAGUCUUAACCGUAAACUAUGCCGACUAGGGAUCGGGCGAUGUUCUUUUUCUGACUCGCUCGGCACCUUACGAGAAAUCAAA